GUCUGUAACAGGCCCAAGAUAGCAAUAAUCCUGUUGUUUUUAUCAGCAGUCCAGGACUGGUCAACUGUGGCCUUCUGAAUGUGUUUUUGGCCUGAAGUACCCUUGAUAGAAACUUCAGUCUAACAACAGCUGGAGAGCCACACUUGCCUGCUCCUGAAGCCAUCAGGGAAACAAUCCCUCCCCCAAAUAUAUCUGGUUCAAGUGCAUUGGGAAAAGACCAGCCAGGUAAGGGACAUGCAGUUCACCAUUCCCUGACCCAGUGUUCUUCAGCAAGUUGUUUUGGCUGAACAUAUGUUCAUUGAAGGGUUUGUUUCUGAAUGGUGUUUCUGGUACUAUAAAAUAACAUUGGUUGAAAAGAUGUAACUGACACUGGGUACUUGGUCUAACAAUGAACAACUGCGAAUAAACUGUUAAACAGUCAUUGUUGUUUCAGUAAGAGGGUUAGAUAGUAAUAAUAAUAAUAUAAUAAUAAUAUAGCCUUUUGUUAAAAAAUGAUCAAUUUUUAAAAGACAGGAUUCUUUUUAAAGUCAGCCUAAUGAAGAGAACUGGAUAUGACUAGUGAUCUAAAUGGACGCUAGAGCAGUAGUUUUGAAUCUUUGGUCCUCCGUAUGUUUCAGACUUCAUCUCCCAGAAGCUCAGCCAGCAUGGCCAGUAGUUGAGGUUUCUGGGAAUUAAAGUUCAAGUCAUAGAGGGCCAAAUGGUGACAGCUCUGCAUUCAAGCACUUGCGCUCCGUCUUGCACUUGUAAGAGUUUUUGCCAAGCAGCAUUGGCUACAUGUGACAGAACCACUCUGCUUGACAAUAUUUCACAAUAUCUCUUAAAAUCAGACAGCACCUUUUGGCUUUGGCUCAGGCAUCCCUUGGACAAACCCAUCCUAAGACGUUUUGUUACAUUGGGGAUCGCCUGGAGCAGCUUGAGCGGAAGCGGGAGCGAGAGAGGAAAAUGAGAGAACAGCAGAAAGAGCAGCGGGAAAUAAAAGAACGGGAGAGGCGAGCAGAGGAAAGGCGGAAAGAACGGGAGGCCAGACGAGAGAUUUCAGCACAUCAUAGAACAAUCAGAGAAGAAUAUGGGGAGAAAGUCAGGAUUUGGAGCCGCAGCCCUUUGCGACAACAGAGAGAAAAGCUUGAACAAGGAGAAAUCAGGAAAACAGGU